rnacentral:tRNA from 3 species
GGAGGCGUGGCAGAGCGGUUUAACGCGCCGCACUCGAAAUGCGGUAUGCCCUUACGGGCAUCGGAGGUUCGAAUCCUCCCGCCUCCG